GGACAAACAUGGCGCCGACCACGUACCCGAGGUUCCCUGUGACAUACUCCACGCACGACCGCCAUCUGUUGUUUGGAAUGCUCAGGUGCGGAAUUGGUGAAAUCCGCGACCAAUAGUAUCGCCAGGAGGGACAGGGGGCGGAACCCACAAGAUGACGUCAUAAUGGAACACGUCGUUUGUGUCCUUCCGCAGUGAGUUGUUCUGUGGACAAAGAUUCGGACCCGCGACCGAACUCCAGUUUCGCAGAACAUCAAACAAAACUUAGAAGGAAGAAAAUACAAGAGGAAGAGGAAAAAAAGCAAGAAGGAAAAAAAAAGAAAAGAAAAAUAAACGACUUGAUUGUUCCAACUUCGUAAAAGAGAGAGAGAGAGAAAUAAGUUUUCGUGUAGGAUCUAAGCAGCCGCACGAGUGAACAGGAUUGAACAAAGUGUUUUGGCUUAAAGGGAGGUGCUGGACUGUGUUUGAGCGCCUUAUUUGAUCUUCUUUUGUUUCUCUGUGCAAACGAGAAACUUGUAAAGCAAUUAGAACCCUUAUUCCGCCAUGCUGCUCUUUUGUUAUAGACGAGUAAAUGCAGUGUCUUUUGCCGAGGACUGUUAGCUGGCGUCUUUCGCUUAUUUUAGAGAUGGAACGUUAAUAGAAAUUGA